rnacentral:rRNA from 1 species
CCUACGGGUGGCAGCAGUGGGGAAUAUUGGGCAAUGGGCGCAAGCCUGACCCAGCAACGCCGCGUGAAGGAAGAAGGCUUUCGGGUUGUAAACUUCUUUUCUCAGGGACGAAGCAAGUGACGGUACCGGAGGAAUAAGCGACGGCUAACUACGUGCCAGCAGCCGCGGGAAUACGUCGGUGGCAAGCGUUACCCGGAUUUACUGGGUGUAAAGGGCGUGUAGGCGGGACUGCAAGUCAGAGGGGAAAACCAUGGGCUCAACCUAUGGCCUGCAUUUGAAACGGUAGUUCUUGAGUACUGGCGCGGCAGCCGGACUUCCUCGUGUAGCGGUGACAUGCGUAGAUAUUAGG